AAAAACUAACCUAGACCCCUAAGAGAUAAAAUCCGUUGUUUCUGACCUUGAGAGACCCCCUCCCUAACGUCUUCUUCUCCUUCACAAGAAGAGGGGAUCGAUACACAAAACAAAAACCUAAAGCCAUAAGCAGAGAACAAGAACCAGGGGACCUUCAGCCGUUUCCCUCAUCUGAUUUUGCUUCUUCUUCACUCUGAAUACACACACACACAAAAACCAACGAAGACCUAGAUCCCUUAGAGCUAGGCUUUUCAACGACAAAACACCAAAAGGACCCCCAGCCAGAUCUCGAUCUUCUUCAACCAAACCAACGACCCCUGCUCUCUUCAAAUGCACAAACAACCACUCACUUUACUUCACCAACCCUUUCCAUCGUUGCUCCUUCGGCUUCAAAGUUUCAGAAAAUUGGAGAGGAAAAUUAGGCAAGUGAAGAGUCGAAUUUCAGUGUCAUUUUUUUAUUUUGUUUCGUAAAUGAGGUCGAGAUGAGGUUUGAAGUCGUUGAUGCCCGAGGUUUGCCGAUCGAGCUCCAGGUCCCUCUCUUUCUCUUGAUGUUAAUUGAAGUAUGAUGGUGGACUGAAUUUGGUAUGUCAAUAUUGAGAUUCACCCACCUGUGUUUGUUUUCGGUUCCUACAUGUGAAUUGAGUUCUGAAAUUUUCCGUUCUGCAAUUUGAUAUGAAUUUGUCUAGUUUCUUAUUCUAUUCUCCUCUCUACUGACUUAUGAUCAUAUCUGAGAGCCUUUUUGAGUUGUUAAUCUCAUAUUUGGUAUUAUAUGGACAUAAUUUUGGUGAAGAAUCAAGAUAAAAAGAAGUAAGAACAUAGUCGAACUAAAAAUAGUACGAAAAUUGAAGUGAUUCUAAACACUUCUAACCUUUUCAAUGAUGUAAGUACUUGAUUUGCUAUUGAGUUUGCUCUUUGCAACGGUGCCUCUGCCAAUAUAUUUGUUGACAUAUUAGAAGCAUCAAGGACGAAGAAAACUAGUUGCAGACCCAACAAUCUGUCUUGUUUGCAUCAUAACUUUUAAAAUCAUUCAUAAUCUCGCCAUACCAUGCUUAGUCAUUUGUGGUGAAUAUUUUGUUUGAACGUUUCAUUGCCUUAAAAUGAAUGUUGGGAAUUGAUUCGAUUGAGCUUUCAGUGCAAGAAUUAAUGUGUAUAUAAUUUUCUUUAAGAGUUAAAUUGUAUAGUGCUUUAGGUGGAUUAUGUAGAGUGCCUACUGUUUCUUGUUUGGUUUCUUAAAAUUGAAAUGAGGAGCUAGGUUAUUCGAGAAAUGUCAUAUGGCCCUUAUCAUCUUUAAUCCAUCUUUCUUUAUCUUUUCCUUUCCCAUCUUAUGUUAUUUGGUUUCUUUAUCUAAUUAUUUAUUUUAUAAUAUUAGAUGUCUCUUGGAUAUUUACUUGUCAAAUACGUUAAUUUCUUUAAUUUGUGUGAAUUAAAUCGUUUGCAGCAUGCCGAGGGGGUUUGGGAUUUAAACAUGAAAAGAGACUAAGCAUGAUAUGGUUAUUGUCUUUAUUUUAGUUUAUUUUAUUUUUGCUUUUCCCAUUUUGAGCGUUAGAAGCGUAAUUGUUAUUUUCCAAAAUUAAAACCGAAGUAUCCGUUCACGCAACUUUGGACGAAAUAAUCUUCAUAAAAAUAAGUGCUAUUAAUUGUGUACACGUUCGCGUGACACGAGUACGAUUUAAAAAAUGAAUAUUCGUAGAAAUGCUUUAGGCGCAUUUAAUGUAUCGUCGUGAUUGUGGACACAUUCGCAUGACAUAAUUACGAUUUUAAAAAUGGAAUCGGAGUAUGCGUUCGCGCAACUUUGACUAAACUUUCUUAAUAAUGAUAAAGCAUUAUUAAUUGUGGACACUUUCGCGUGACAUGAUUUUUGACGUGCCAAACAAAUGGGUACACGUACGUGUGACCUGUUUUUUAAGAUAAUUUCUUAAUUAAAAGAGGCAAAUGCACAUUGGUUCUAAAAUGAGUAAUUAGAUGAUUUAUUAAGACAAGUAUGAUUAAAGCGACCAUGCUAGAACCACGGAACCCGAAAAUGCCAAACACCUUCUUCCAGGUUAACAGAAUUCCUUACCCGGAUUUCUGUGUUCGCAGACCAUAAGAUAAGAGUCAACCUUCCUCGAUUCGAGAUUUAAACCGGUGACUUGGGACACCAUAAAUCAUCCCAAGUGGAGACUCUGAUUUCUAAAUAAAAUAAUCCCAUUUCGAUUGUCACUUAAAUUGAAAAACUCCGUUAUAUUCCUUUCCGAGUUAGUAAAAAGGAGGUGUGACAGCUCUGGAGACUCUGCUGGGGAUAAGAACCCAGAACUUCUGGUUCAGGGUUCAAGACUUCGAGCUUGUUUUUAUGAUUUUUACUUGGCUUUAUUUAUUGAUCAUAAUAUCGUAUUUGUGGACCUAAUGUGCUAAAUGCUGUUUAUUUACCUCUUUCAUAGUAUUAAAUUGUCUCCCUACGCCUCAUUUCUAAGAAUUAAAAUAAAAACGGUGCACAUGUUCACGUGACCCACUUUUCUGUUAAAAGUUACACCAAAUAGAACGAGAUUGCGCCAGCAACAAGGCCGGGUAGACUUUCGUGCUUUCGGUACAUUGCCCCCUCUUCGACUUGAGUUGUCCGCUCGGAUAAGCUAGGUCAAGAACACAAACCCAGGUUUAAACAUAGAAUAACAUAACCUCAUGCCGGAUCCCUAGUAGGAACGUUUAUUUGCAUCAUGUGCAUUUAACUCUGGGGACUCAACACAGGGGUUGAGUCCGUCUAGGACAGGUGUAUCCAAAAAUUAAAGACCAUCCUGAUGCAUCCUAUGUGCUACAUGUUGUAUUCUUCAAGGGUAAAACGAUCAUUUGACGGACAAAUAAUAGUUGCGGGCAAAUAAUAAAAGACAAAAAAAAAGAAAAAAAGGAUGAAGUGUGAAAAUAAAGCAAGUAGGGCCCAAUUAUGUUUUCUUUCACAUUUUGUUAAGAAAAAAACAAAAAGAACAUGAAAAAUUCAAAAAAAGAUUUUGCACUUUUUCAUCCGUUUUAGAAAAUCAAAAAAUUAAAAAAGGGAAAAGAAAAUCCAAAAAGAGUUUACAUGUUUCAUCCUUUUUCAAAAAAAAGACAAAAAAUAUAUUUUUUCUAAAUUAGUUGUUUUUUUAAUUCUCGCCCGUAUCCAAUCUGCCCGAACUACGCGAACCUGAUUCCCGUCUCUCGGGGCGGGAUACAUAAGCAACCCACAUAGGGUCCGGUCUUCUUAGUAAGUCUUAGGUUCUUGGCUUCGCAGGGUCUUAGCCAAAUCUUACAUUUUUAGCAACUUUUAGCCACAUAAGUUAAUUUUAGAAAAAUAGUCACAAUCAUGUCUUGCAUAUGUUCAACAAGAAGGGUUAUUGUCUCACAUAGUGUUCUAGGUCUUUAACUUUAUUUUGUCUUAAUUUUCUCAUACAGGUGUGGGUUUACUUACCGGAGUUUGAGCAUGACAGACGCCCCAGGACCAUCCAGUCAGGAUCACUUAUUUAGGAGUUUGCUUGAGGAGAUUUUCUUUAUGUUUUUAGUCUGUUGUUCAUUUUUAUAUCAUCUUUUACCUUCUAGUUUUGUAUAGUAAUGUCGAGUCUUUUAGGUGAUAUUAGAGUUUGUCAUAGUCUAGUUAAGUUUACCGAGUCUUUUGUUAUUGUAUUUCUUAUUUUGUAUUUGGAAAUGUGUUAUAGGUAAAAAAUCCAAAAGAAAAAUAAUAAAAAAGAAAUUUUGC
rnacentral:lncRNA from 1 species